UAUCUCCAUACACCGAAUUUAUGGAGUCGAUUGACUCCGAUCCCGAUGCAUUAGGUCUUUACUUGGCAAAAGAACUUAACAAAUUCGACCUUGUCUACCUUCACAUGAUCGAACCGAGAUUUAGUGGUGAUGAAGUUCCUCAUGAGCUACUUCCCAUUAGAAAGGCUUUCAAUAAUACUUUUAUCGCCGCCGGUGGUUACAAUAGGAGGAAGGGUAAUUUAGCCAUUUCUGAAAAUUACGCGGAUUUGGUUGCGUUUGGACGCUUGUUUUUGGCUAAUCCAGAUUUGGUCAGAAGGUACGAGUUGGAUGCUACUCUUAACGAGUACAAUAGGACCACGUUCUUCUCUCAAGAUCCCGUUUUUGGUUAUACCGAUUAUCCUUUUCUUGAAGAAGCUAAUUAGUUAUGAUUAAUAAAUAAUAAUAUGUGUUAGUUUGAAUGUGUUAUGCUUUGUGACAUUAUGAACUUCUUGUGUUCUUUUUCCUUUGUUUGUUGGAAUGAUGAAAAGGAGAUAGUUGAUGUUUGCCUAUUUUUAUUUAAUCUUUUCCAAAGGUUUUAUUGUUUAUCGACUGUUGACCGUUAUAUGAACUAUAUUACUGUUUAACACAGUAAUAUUAAUGAUAACACAGUAAUAUUGUUAUAUUAUUCUCUAACACAAUAAUAUUAACACAACAAAAAUCACUAUUAUUGUGUAAUAAAGUAAUAUUAAUAUUUUACCGUUCAACAAACGCAAACAUAAUAAAAAAACCAAAAGAAUGAAUAUUGAUGUGGUUGAGAGUAAUAAUAUUACAAUUACGUUAAUCGGUCAACAAAUCAAACAAAACAAAAAGGCAAAAAAAAAAAUAUUGUUGUGAUUGACAGUAAUAUUAUUGUGUUUACAGUAAUUUUACGUCAAUGACAGUAAUAUAAUUACGUUGACUUGUAACAAAUCAAACAAAAUAAAAUAAAAUUAAAAAAAAAAUUAAAAAAAAAAAAAAAAAAAAACCAAAAGAAAUAAUAAUAUUGGUGUGGUUGACAAUAAUUGUACGGACAACGACAGUACAAUUACGUAAAUAUACUACUGUCAAUGACAGUACAAUUACUGUCAGCAGUAUAAUUAUAACUGUUAAUGACAGUACAAUUAAAGUCAACGUUCAGCGGCGGGCGUAAAAAAAAAGGAUAAUUUUUUUAGGGAAGAAAAAAAUUAAAAAGUCAACGUCGGAAACCGGCGGCAAAAAAUAAGUUUUGAAAGAAAAAAGUUCAAAAAAAUAAAAAAAGUCAAAAUUGAAUUUUUGUUGUCAAAACUAAUUAAAUUGAAGUUAAAUUGUGGUUACAAUUAGAAAAUUGAGUUUAAAAUGUUGGGGGUAAUUUUCUCAUAUACAUUAAUUCUUCUUUAUUUAUAAUACAUAUUGAAGACAUGGGUUUAUUGACGAGAGAGAUACAACCCCUGAAUCUAGAAUAAUAAAGAUAGCUGGUCAGGGACUUAUUCAUUAAAAAAUCAUAUUAAUAAAAAGUUGUUAAGAUAAAAUUUGGGGGGCAAAAACAAAUAUUUAUAAAAUAUCAUGUCAAAAAGCAAUUAAAAAAAUUAGGUUUUUUCUCUUGGACGGGCGCUGCGAUUUCGAUUUCGAUUUUCCUUCUUUUUUUUUCUUUUUUUUUUUAUUAUUAUUUUUUUUUUAAUUGAGAGUGUAGCGUUGACUGUUGAGGAAUGCACGAGGCCAGAAAAUGACUCGUAAUAUAAUAUAAUAUAAUAAUUACCUAUAUAUAUACACGAAUUAAUAAUUCUUAAGUACUCAACAUACAGUUCAAUUUUCCCUCUCUUUAUAGUUAUGGCAUCUCAAAAUCCAAUUCCUCUGCUCACUCCCUACAACAUGGGGGAAUUUGAUCUCUCCCACAGGUUCAAUUUCUACUUCUUUUUCUUUUUCUUUUUCUUUUUUUUUUUUCUUUUUUUUUUUUUUUUUUUUUUUUUUUGGGGGAUUAUUUAUCAUAAUCUAACUGCUUGGGCUAAACAAUAUACAGUGGCAGAGCCAGCAUAAGGCCAGAGGGGGUCAUGGCCCCCUAAGAAAAUCUUGAAUCCUUAUUUUUUAUGUGAAGAUUUAAAAAAAAAAAAAAAGUUGUGUAUAAUUAGCAUUAUCGGUCCCUUCUCAUAAAAGUUUUAGUGCAUUCGACCCCACAUAUUUAAAAUCCAGGCUCCACUAAUUAGUCGGUAUUAACAAUGUUGAUAAAAAGUUCUCUUGAUGUUUAAACUUGUGGGUGGAUAUUUAGUACAUUGUUCAUUGUGUUUCUAAAGCAUACUUUUUUUUUUUUCAAAUAUUCGAACAAUCGUGCGUACAACAGAAUAGUAAUGGCACCACUAAGCCGAUACCGGUCGUACAAGAACGUCCCGCAGCCUCACGCGGCGGUGUAUUACUCUCAGAGAGCAACCAAAGGUGGUCUUCUCAUUGCUGAAGCAACCGGUGUAUCUCACACUUCACAAGGGUAUAUUCGUCGUCUCACACCUUUGUUAAUUUUGUUUUCCUAUCAUUAACUAGUUGUAUUGGAUCAAUAUUUAGGAUAUAUCGAUGUACGGCGAUUAUCUAAGCAAUCCAGGAUUUUAAUUAUAGGUGUUCGAAAUUUAAAUACGAAAAAAAUAUGUAAAUGACGGCAAGCGAUUACCUACACGUAACACGAUGGUCAAACACUAUUUUUUAUAUAUGUUUCUCAUAUACAAAUAUAAGGUUUAAAAUAUCUUUUGAUGAGCUAUUAUUUUUGAGUUUACUGCAUUCGAUCGGUACAUUGGUUAUAUCGAAUCGCUAGAAAAAUGCCCGUACUAUUAAUACUUUAAUUUUUUUUAGCACACGUUCGAAUUUAAUUUACAGGUACCGAGAAACGCCUGGAAUUUGGACAAGGGAGCAAGUGAAGGCAUGGAAGCCAAUUGUCAACGCAGUUCAUAAAAAAGGGGCCGUAUUUUUCUUGCAAUUGUGGCAUGUUGGCCGUGUUUCGACUUACGGUAUGUCGAAAUAUUUACCAACUCAUGUAACACUUAAAGAUUUAAUCUUUGUUGUCUCGUGUGGAUUCGAAUAAAUAAAUAUGUCUUUCAAUAUUUCAGGUUUUCAACCCGAAGGGGAAGCUCCAAUCUCAUCAACCGACAAGGGAAUUACACGCGGCCUUGAGGGAGUAGAUUGGGCCCCACCUAGACAACUAUCUAACGAUGAAAUCCCUUCUAUUGUCAAUGAUUUUAGGGUCGCCGCUCGCAAUGCUAUCGAAGCAGGUUUAUUUUUUUGUGCAUGCCUUCUCCUUAUAAGUACAGUAGAACCUCAAUAAAUUAAUACUCGAUAAAUUAAUAACCUCGAUUAAAUAAUAGUUUAUCUCGGUCCCGACUCGGUGAAAAUGUAUUAAAUAUAUUAACUCAAUAAUUUAAUAAUUCCCUAAAUUAAUAGAAUUUCCCUAGUCCCGGCUGUAUUAAUUUAUAGAGGUUUAACUGUACAUAAAUUUCCUCAACCAUAUACUAAAACUAUAUAUCAACUCAAUAUUUGCAAUAUUUUGUGUGUAAUUAUUUAGGAUUUGAUGGAGUUGAGAUACAUGGAGCAAACGGCUACUUAAUCGAACAGUUUCUCAAAGAUAAAGUCAACGACAGGACCGAUGAAUACGGCGGGAGCUUGGAAAAUCGGUGCCGAUUCGCACUUGAAAUAGUUGAAGCAGUGACGAACGAGAUCGGUUCUAGUAGAGUUGGGAUUAAGCUAUCUCCAUACACCGAUUUUAUGGAGUCGAUUGACUCGGACCCCGAUGCAUUAGGCCUUUACUUGGCCAAAGAACUUAAUAAAUUCGACCUUGUCUACCUUCACAUGAUCGAACCGUCGGUGCUUAGUGGUGCGGGUAUUGAAGAUGAAGUUCCUCAUAAGCUACUUCCCAUUAGAAAGGCUUUCAAGAAUACUUUUAUUGCUUCCGGUGGUUACAAUAGGAGUAAGGGUAAUUUAGCCAUUUCUGAAAAUCACGCGGAUUUGGUCGCGUAUGGGCACUUGUUUUUGGCUAAUCCGGAUUUAGUGAGAAGGUUCGAGUUGGAUGCUACUCUUAACGAGUACAAUAAGAAGACGUUCUUGUCUCGAGAUCCCGUUUUUGGUUAUACCGAUUAUCCGUUUCUUGAAGAAGCUAAUUAAUUAAAAGUAAUUAUAAUAUGUUUUAGGUUGAAUUUGUUAUGCUUUGUGAUAUUAUGAACUUCUUGUGUGUUCUUUUUUUCUGGAAUGAUCAUUGUAAAAGGAGAUAGGUGAUGUUUGCCUAUUUUUAUUUAAUUUUUUUUUUAAAGGUUUUAUUGUUUAUCGAGUUCCUGAGAAUUCGGGGGCCUAAAAUUCAUAGAUGAGAUGGAUAUUUAGAAUACAACUCAUUUCUAUUUAAACUAUUAUAUAUAUAUACAUUUAAACUCAUCAUAUAGUAAGUAUCAUAAGCUUGUGAAUCUAACAAAACAAGCAUAAAAAACAUGUAACACACUUAUAAUUGUGCCGAACUAAUUAAAUAAAUACGAAUAUACACAAAGAAUAUACUUUUUUGAAGCCAUUAAAAUUCACAAUGUGUUUUGUAAUGGGUGCAUGUGUUCAUGUGCACAUAUGUGUGUUCUUGGCAGUGGCGGAUGUAGCCAUGGUCUAGGGUGUGCAGUUGCACACCCUUGGUUUUCAGUAAAUAUUACUAUUAUACCUGAAAUAACAGAAAAGGUAGUUGGUUGAAGUGGUAAAGAUAUGUGUUUUUAUAUUAAUAAGUCAUGGGUUCGAAACCCACCCUCACAAUAAUGGAACUUUUUUAAAAUCUCAACAUUUUUCAACUUUUUGGUCUUUAAAUAUUUCCACAAUUCACCCAAAAUUUGUAAAUUAUAAAUUUUUGGUCCACUAUUUUUAUAAAGUGAUAUUUUAAUUUUUUAUUCUACAAUUUCGAACCCCCUUGGCAAAAAUCCUGGAUCCGCCACUGGUUCUUGGGCAUUUUUAUUUUAUUUGAUUAAUUGUGCAUACAUAGUUUUGUGUGUGCACAUGCUAUAUUAAUCUAUAGCAUGUGUAGUGUGUGUGUGUGUGUCCAUGUGCUCUUGUGUAUACUCUUUUAAUGUGCAUAUGUAGUGUUGUUAAUAUGUGUGCAUGAUUUAUUUAUUUUUUUUGCAUUAGUUAUACAAUUUAUUAAAUAAGUGUAAUAUGGAGAGGAGAGUCUCUAAUUUUCUUAGGGUAUUAUGCUAAGAGUUUCUUGAAUGAAACCUAAUUUGAAAUAAAUGAUAACCUUAAAUUCAAUCUUUUAAUUGAAUUUCUAUUUCGAAAUAAUAUACCGGUCACAUUCCUAAUUUUUAUUUUAUUCCUAGUUUGCCCUUAUACCCUAAGUAUAAUAUCUCACGUUUCUUUAACUAAUCAAAUUUAUUUUUCUUUUGUUUUCUCUUUUUCCCUUUGUCGCGCCUUUCCCUCUCGCUCUUCGUCUCGCCUCUCCCUCUCCCUCUCGCUCUCUCUAUCACUCUCUCUCGCGCACCACUCAGUUAUGGUGGCUAUGGUGAUUAUAGUGGGAGGCGGCGUCGGAGAACUACAGAUCUGCAAAUGGCAGCGGCGACUCAUGGCUCAAGAUGGUUGAGAGAGGCAGCGGAUGUCGUGGUUAUAGAGUGGAUGGUUAUGGUGGUAGAUGACAAUUUGAAACGGUGGUGUAAGGUUAGAUCUACGGUGGGAGGUGGUUGCAUCAAGUUAGGGCUCUUUGACGGUGUUAGAGUUUUGGUUGGCAGCUAGGGUUUAGUGGAUAGAAGUUGCGGCGGCUGCGAGUUAAUGGUUGCUAGGGAUUGACGGCGGUUGUGAGUUGUUGGCAGCGGCUGAAAGUUGUUUUGUUGCUAUGGUAUGGAACAAUGCAUCGUAGUAAACUAUAGUACACACUGUAGUAUGCUAUAGUACAUCGUAAUAUACUAUAGUCUACUACAAUAUUAACAAGAUAAAAUCACAAAAAAAUAUUCAAAAAUAUGUAAAUUGAAUUUUAAAAAAUGACAAACAUUUUUUCGUAAUCUUCAAGAUUAUGAAGAUAAUUUUUUUUUAAUAGUGUAAAAAAUACUAAAAUGAAUAAACAGAAAGAAAUAGAUAGAAAAAAGAAAAGGACAAACGUGUUUUGUAUAAAAAAAAUUAAAAAAUGUUGGUUGGAAAAAUAAAAAUAUUAAAUGCAGAUUAAAAAAACGAUAAAUGCAAUUUGAAUUUUACUCAAUGCAGAUUUCGAAUUUGUGAAUGAAAUGGCAUUUUUGGAAUGAAUUUUAUAAAGAACGUGCAACAAAAGUUUAGUUGAACUUGUCAUUUAGUUGUAAUAAGUUUUGUCACUAGUGACACAUAUCUUAAGCCCCCCAAUUUCUUUUGCGUGCAUUAGUUAGAUGUUACACUUGUUAUUUAUAUUGGUUGGAUUUCAAUCAUAAAUUUGACUAAAUAACUAGUCACUAACCAUACAUACAUAUGUAUGUGUAAUUAUAUAUUGUAAAUUUAUUAUUGGAAUCUAUUCAGUGUAAAUAACCAAGUGUAUUAUCCAAUUAUCCUUGUUAAACUCAUUUAGAGUCUUUAAUUUAAUGAGGAUUGCAUAACAAUUGCUAAGGCAAUGUUUGGUUCAUUUUUCUUUUCACUUUUAUUCUUUCCCAAAAAUAAUGCCGUGUUUAUUUUACCUUAUCAAAAAAAAUUCCCAAAAGAACUUCUAAAGGUUCUCUCUCCCCCGCACAUGAUCUUUUGUACAUUUUUUAAAUAAUUUUAAAUAUGAUUGAUUGCUACAGUGUAUUUUAUAUAAUCUCAAAUCAUAAACAAACAUUACUUUCAUUUUUAAAUAAUUCUAUCAAAACAUAUAUCUCCAAAAUAAAAUAAAAAUAACUACCAAGAUCAUUCCAAACAUUGCCACAACUGUAUUGAGAAGAAUGAGUUACCCUUUAAACAUAGUUAAUUAUGUUUAGUAAAGCUAUAAAAAAGGGAGAGAGAGAGAGAGAGAGAAAUGAGUUUAUAUCUAAUUAAUUCUUGUUAGUUUUUCUAUUAUUGUUGUGUUAGUAUUUUUCUAUUAGUGUACAAGUUACACUUGUUCUCUAGUUGUUUUUCUAUUAAUGUAUUAGUUACCGAAAUAUUCGGAACUUUUAUUUGGACACGUGUCACUGAUGUGAAAGACACGUGAAGUUAACCCAAAUAAUAAAAUAAAUGAAAACGACGUCACCCGAUACGCACAUUGAUGCAAGAGUGUCGUGUUCAGUAACGUAUGGCCAUAAAUGCACACUCUUUCUCUCUACUUUCUCUCUCUAGAACGUGUUAAAUCGCAAUUCGAAAGAGACGCGUACCAUACACGCCAAUCAUGAACAGUAGCCGUUGAGGGAUUUGCAUUUAUAUGUGGCCAGAAAAUUCUGUCGGUGAACAGAGAAAUAUAUAUAUAUAUAUAUAUAUAUUGAUUCGUAGCAGUAAGCCUAUAAAAUAUCCAUACAGAAGAUUUUUUUUCUUCAGCCAACUCUUCAAUUCUCUCUCUCUUCACAGCAUUUGUCGCCGCAGAUUGUUCAUAGUUAUGGCAGCUCAAAACCUCGUUCCUCUGCUCACUCCCUACAAAAUGGGCGAAUUUGAUCUCUCUCACAGGUUCGUUUUCUGCAUUAAUUUUCCCCUUUUUUUUUUAGGUUUUUUUGUAAUUUUGUGAUUGUGUGCGAUGCCGAUUAAAAAUUUGAAUCGGAGAGUGAAUUUUUUGGAUCUAAGCUAAUCAAUGAGCGUCACAGUGUAUAUGAUUCAGGUCGAUCGAGAAAAUUUGUGCUGCUGUAUUAAUUAAUUAAAUCUGUGAUUAUUGAUUUUUCCGAAGUUUUUUUUGUUUUUAAUUUUUAGGUUUAUAUUUAAUUACCUAUGAACUUUGAAGAUGAAGAAAUAGUGUGUGGAUCUUUAGUACAUUGUUGUUGGUUUCUGAAGCAUAUUUUAAUAAUUUUAAUUUUAAUUUUAAUUUUAAUUUUAAUUUUAAUUUUAAUUUUAAUUUUUUUUCAAUUUUUUAUUUUUUAUUUUUAGGUUUAUAAUUAAUUACUACCUAUGAACUUUGAAGAUGAAGAAAUAGUGUGUGGAUCUUUAGUACAUUGUUGUUGUGUUUCUGAAGCAUAUUUUAAUUUUUAUUUCAAUCUCUUUUUCAAAUAUUUGAACAAUAACAGAAUUGUAUUGGCACCGUUAACUCGAAACCGGUCUUUCCACAAUGUGCCGCAGCCUCACGCGGCAGUGUACUACAGUCAGCGAACAACCAAAGGCGGUCUUCUCAUCGCUGAAGCAACUGGUGUAUCCGAUACUGCACAAGGGUAUUAUUCAUUUCACACCUUUCUUCUAUUUUCCGUAUUAUCACAAUUGUAUUUUCAAGAGUUUCGACUCGUAUAGCCCACUCGUUGGUUGUAUUUGGGUGACAACAUUUGAAGGGAAGUAUUUCAAAUCCGUAGUAAUAUUUCCGUUUAGCUUUGUUUUGAUCGAUUCAUUUGCAAUGAAUAUCGAAUCACAUUCCUAUCUCAGUUGGAGUUAUUUGAAAUCAUUUCUCCAAUCCAAAUCGUUAAGUUCAAAUGCACUAUGUGUUUGUUCUAGCUAAAUUGCAACUUGAUAUAAAAUUAUUACCAUCAAAUUUAUAGGUACCGAGACACACCCGGGAUUUGGACAAAGGAGCAGGUGGAGGCAUGGAAACCGAUUGUGGAUGCAGUUCAUGAAAAGGGUGGCGUGUUUUUCCUGCAAAUAUGGCAUGUUGGCCGUGUCUCUACUUACGGUAUGUGUAAUAUUUACUUAACUCGUGUAACACUGAAAUUGAUUAUGUUGUACAGUCGAUGUGUAUGUAAAGCAUAUCGGUCGAACCUAAGAUCCGAGUAAUUAACAGAGCCAAAAAAAAAUACAUGACGAAAUAUAUACAUAUAUAAAUAUUCAAAAAUGUUUUGAGUUCUUGUUCGGUCCACAAAUGCUCUACAUAAAUUGAAUAAUAAAUGCCUUUAAUAUUCAGGUUACCAACCCAAUGGCCAAGCUCCAAUCUCAUCAACGGACAAGGGAAUUACACCUGGCCUUGACGGAGUAGAUUGGGCCCCACCUAAACGACUAUCCAAAGAUGAAAUCCGUAGUGUCGUCAAUGAUUUUAGGGUCGCUGCUCGCAAUGCCAUUGAAGCAGGUUUGUACAUAAUUAUUCUCAAGCAUACUAAAACUAGCAACUCAUAAUUUUUUAACAUUUUUUGCGUUUUUCAGGAUUUGAUGGAGUUGAGAUACAUGGAGCAAACGGCUACUUAAUCGAACAAUUCCUCAAAGAUCAAGUCAACGACAGAACCGAUGAAUAUGGGGGAAGCUUGGAAAAUCGAAGCCGAUUUGCAUUUGAAAUAGUGGAAGCGGUGACGAACGAGAUAGGAUCUAACAAAGUUGGAAUAAGACUAUCUCCAUACACCGAAUUCAUGGAGUCGAUCGACUCAGAUCCCGAUAAACUAGGCCUUUACAUGGCCAACGAACUCAACAAAUACAACCUUGUCUACCUACACAUGAUCGAACCGAGGGUGACUGGUGCGAGGGUGCAUCAAGGGCCGGAAGAUGAAGUUCCUCAUAAGCUACUCCCCAUG
rnacentral:lncRNA from 1 species